rnacentral:rRNA from 1 species
GAUGAACGCUGGCGGCGUGCUUAACACAUGCAAGUCGAACGGAAAGGGUAUGCUUAAACCUGCUGGCGGAGGCCUGCAUGUCUGGUUGCGGAGUGAGUAGUAACGCGUUGAUAACCUGCCUCAUACAGGGGAAUAGGGGUUGUAAAGGACAGGAAAUACCGCAGAAUGGCGGGGCAUCGCAAGAUUCGGGGGUUAAAGCUCCGGUGGUAUGAUAUGGACCCGCUUGCGCUUAGGCGGUUGGCGGGGUCACGGCCCACCAAAGCGACGAUCGAGAGCCGAUGUGAGAGGCUGACAGGCCACAUUGGGAAUGAGACACGGCCCAAACUCCUACGGAAGGGAGCAGUGGGGAAUACUGCACGAUGGGGGAUAAUCCGAUGCAGCGGCGUGGCGUGAGUGAAGCAGUACUUUGGUAUGCAAAGCUCUAUCAGAAGGGAAGAAAAUGACGGUAACUGAGUAAGAAGCCCCGGCUAACUACGUG